ACGAGGUGAGUAACACGUGGAUAACCUACCUAUAAGACUGGGAUAACUUCGGGAAACCGGAGCUAAUACCGGAUAAUAUAUUGAACCGCAUGGUUCAAUAGUGAAAGACGGUUUUGCUGUCACUUAUAGAUGGAUCCGCGCCGCAUUAGCUAGUUGGUAAGGUAACGGCUUACCAAGGCAACGAUGCGUAGCCGACCUGAGAGGGUGAUCGGCCACACUGGAACUGAGACACGGUCCAG
rnacentral:rRNA from 1 species